GCUUUGUUUUUAUUGAUAUGAAGAGCUUGCUCUGAUUUGAUUUUCCCUGACAAAGAGUGGCGAACGGGUGAGUAACACGUGGGUAACCUACCUCUUAGCAGGGGAUAACAUUUGGAAACAAGUGCUAAUACCGUAUAACACUAACAACCGCAUGGUUGUUAGUUGAAAGAUGGUUCUGCUAUCACUAAGAGAUGGACCCGCGGUGCAUUAGCUAGUUGGUAAGGUAAUGGCUUACCAAGGCGAUGAUGCGUAGCCGAGUUGAGAGACUGAUCGGCCACAAUGGGACUGAGACACGGCCCAUACUCCUACGGGAGGCAGCAGUAGGGAAUCUUCCACAAUGGGCGCAAGCCUGAUGGAGCAACGCCGCGUGUGUGAUGAAGGGUUUCGGCUCGUAAAACACUGUUAUAAGAGAAGAACGACAUUGAGAGUAACUGUUCAGUGUGUGACGGUAUCUUAUCAGAAAGGAACGGCUAAAUACGUGCCAGCAGCCGCGGUAAUACGUAUGUUCCAAGCGUUAUCCGGAUUUAUUGGGCGUAAAGCGAGCGCAGACGGUUAUUUAAGUCUGAAGUGAAAGCCCUCAGCUCAACUGAGGAAGGGCUUUGGAAACUGGAUAACUUGAGUGCAGUAGAGGAAAGUGGAACUCCAUGUGUAGCGGUGAAAUGCGUAGAUAUAUGGAAGAACACCGGUGGCGAAAGCGGCUUUCUGGACUGUAACUGACGUUGAGGCUCGAAAGUGUGGGUAGCAAACAGGAUUAGAUACCCUGGUAGUCCACACCGUAAACGAUGAGUGCUAGAUGUUCGAGGGUUUCCGCCCUUGAGUGUCGCAGCUAACGCAUUAAGCA
rnacentral:rRNA from 1 species